rnacentral:misc_RNA from 1 species
GAUGAAGAACGUAGCGAAAUGCGAUAAGUAAUGUGAAUUGCAGAAUUCCGUGAAUCAUCGAAUCUUUGAACGCAUAUUGCGCCCUCUGGUAUUCUGGGGGGCAUGCCUGUUCGAGCGUCAUUUCACCACUCAAGCCUGGCUUGGUGUUGGGCGACGUCCCCUUUGGGGACGCGCCUCGAAACGCUCGGCGGCGUGGCACCGGCUUUAAGCGUAGCAGAAUCUUUCGCUUUGGAAGUCGGGGCCCCGUCUGCCGGAAGACCUACUCGCAAGGUUGACCUCGGAUCAGGCAGGGAUACCCGCUGAACUUAAGCAUAUCAAUAAGCGGAGGA